CUAUUAUAAAAAUAUACAUAAUCAAUGAAACCAAAAACGUAUCCUGUUAUGCGCAUGGAAUCCAUCAUCUCUAUCAGGAGGAAAUGAGACAAUGAAACUCCAGGAUAUGACAGCACAGAAGGAGCAGUCCUACCUUGGCCACUGUGUCCACUGCUGAACACAAAGGGACAUCUCUAAAAUCUUCACGAGAUGGCUAUGUCCCUUUUUCUGUUCUUGAUCCAGCUUCCCCAUCUUCUAUUACUUUGGGUCACAUUCUUCCAGAGUGGGAGACGGGAAGUCAUUUCCAAAUUGUCUGAAAGCACCAUAUGCCCUCUCUUUUCUUGGGAAAAAUAUUUUUAAUUGUGGAGAAGAGAACAAAACUAAUUAAUAAGGAAUUGAUAUUCAAAUUAAAUCAAGAUAAAGUGAGAGCCAUCACCUAAUCUUGAAGAAUUCAAGUCACCAGGCUCGGAUGAUCAUUAUCCUACAAGAUUUUGCAGAAAUGACUGCUAGGUUGCUAGCAAUGAAAUUUGAAAGAUAACGAAGAAUGUGGAAGGUACCACAGGAUUGAAGAAAUACAUAUGUUGUCUCAAUAUUUAAAAGGAAGAAGGGGGAAAAAUCUGCAAACUAUAGUUUGGCAAGCUUGACUGAUUCCUGGCAAAAUGCUACAAAAUAUUAUUAAGGGAUCUAGAAGUUCUAGAAGAAGAAAUGAUCACAAUAAGCCAGUAUGACUUCAUCAAGCACAAGGGACCAUAUCAUUUCUGACAAGGUUAUUAAACUGAAAGAUUAGAGCAAUAUUAUAGUUAUAAUUUCCUACCUCUUAUAAAAGCAUGUGAGAAAGUAACUGAUGCCACUCAUAUAGAAAAGAUGAAGGGAUGUGAAUUAGACAAUAGCAUAGACAAGAGCAUUCAGAAUUGAAUGAAUGGCCAGGUUCAAAGUGUAUAUUAUUUCAGUCUCAAUGGCAUGCCCUACCUCCAGGGAUUUCUGGUUGGCUCUGUGCUAUGUAACAUUUUUUAUCAAUGACUUAGACAAAGACAUAACUGGUAUAUCUGUCCAAUUUAUACGUUUCAUAAAACUGGGGAAAAUAUUGCUUUUGCUCUUUUGGUUGAUC